GACGCUUCCUCUUGAACCAGCAGGAGGUGCCCGUGGAUGCUCCUGGCUGGGGUCAAGCCAAAGCCCCCGGAUUGAGGCUGACGUGCCAUGGUCGCCUUCGUACUGGGCGUCGAGGCCGUCGGGAAGUUGCGGAGCCUGCGGGAGCCGUCUGUGCUGCGCGAGUCACUGAGCCCCCACCCACGUGGCUUUGCCUCCAUGUGGGCGUGACACCUCCUCUCCCUUUUUCGACCCCCGCUUCGGAAUGAUGUCUGACUCUUCGGAAGGAUGUCGCAUCCUCAUGGGUUACUGAGGGUUGUUUUGCCCGGCCCGCUGCGCUACAGACGUCCAGGCCGCUUCGGUGUGUCUGCAGGGAACGCUUUCGAAACUGCUACGUGUGAAGGAGAGCGUGCAAAGGGGACCCGUGCGCGGGGGAAGCGCUGGGGGCGCUGCGAGGAGAAGGCGAGCCCUGGAAGGCGCUCGCACACCGCCGGCCUCCCGCCGCGCCGGGCCCAGAAUGUUCUGUGGCUCAUCCCUCCCAGGGGACGAAACGCCUCCCCGGGGCGCUUCCCGCGAAGCGAGGAGAGGGAGCCCAGGCCCCGCGGCCAGGACGCCCGGAGCUUGACCGAACCAACCUUUCCCGGCUGCGUCUCCGCCGCCGCCUCGCGCGUCCCGGGGCCGCUCUGCUGGGCCCGGCCCGCCGCUCGCCGGAGCCCGAGGUGACCCGGCGCCGCCUCAGCCGCGUGGGGGCGAUGCCCGGGGCAGAGAGCCGUGUAGACGCUGCUGGCGGCCGGCUUCUCUCUUCCUGAGCUAAUGAUGAGCUUUGACUUAUGAGCGUUUUUUCUCGUUCAGAGUCUUAGCAGGCAGAAGAACAAAGCCAUUCACUCGAGCCUUGCUUGGGCACCUUCUGGAUCAGGCCCUGAGGAGCGGGCAGGUGAGCGGGAGCCAGCAUGGGAAUGCAGGUGCCCUUAAGGAAGCCUAAGAUGAGGACAAGGCAGAAGGAGGAAGAGAAGUGAAAAGGAGGAGGCGAGGAAGAAGAGCGAGAAGGAGGAGGAGGAGAGCAGCGCCCUCGGAUCCCAGGCUCAGAGGCCCCGCCUGGCCGGUUCCCUUCCUGGCGGCAUUGGUGACACCUUUGUCCUUCUGGUGCAUUUCAAACUUCUGAGGCAGCUCCAGAAUUGUUGGGUAGGUAGCAAGUUUGGGGUUUUUAUCCUUUUCCUCCUAAUUGCAAGGCCUGUGAGAACAGUUAGCAGUUGCCAUCUGCACAGUAUUCAUUAUCCUGCUGCAGCGGGGGAAAAUGAGUAAUUUUAGCACAAAAUGUAGAACUGCCCUGAAAUUCAAAUUGCAGUAAGUUGACAAGAGUUAUGAUGUUUGUGGAAAAGCUCAUCUAGGAGGCUAAAGGGACCAUGCGGGGAGCAGCAGCCUCACCACCGAGAAAAAUGGCUGCAGUCAGAGGCGGGCGAGGCCUGGGGCGGGCCACUGCCCACUCUGCCCAGAGUGCCAGGGCCGAGGCUGCUUGGCAAUUUUCCCUUCACCCUCUUGCUCUUGACCAUAAAACAAGGCGGAGGAAGCAGGAGGCUGGGGAGCACCUCCGCAAAUAAAGGAGUGAGCAUUCCAGAGAGCAUAGCUGACGAGGCAGAAUUCUUGCCAAGUGAGUUGACUCUGCAUUGAAGGGGAGGUUUCUCCUGCCUUCUGGAAACAGGAUAUUUUCUUAAAGGGGUCACCAAGAUCACCCCUGAUCAGUCCACAAACAAUGUACCUGGGCCUUCAGCCCGUGGCCUACUCCCAGGCCCAGAGGAACGAAUGUCCCGGCAGCAGGAGGAAAGGAACAUGUCUACAGAUACCAGUUGUUCAAAUAAUAGCAAAGAUGGAAAUGCAGCUGCCAAUGUACAAACUGACAACUACCCUAAACACUCUUUUUGGCUCUAGUAACUUGUAAGUCCUUCCUUGCCCUCAAGAAUAAAACCAUUUAGGUUCUGCAUUCUUUGUGCAGAGGCUGGGCACGUGCAGGUCUUUUACGCUGUCUUCCUCAUCAAGUGGCGGAGGGCCCACACCCUUCCGUCCACCACAGCUGGGAGAACUAGCUCCUCUCAGGGUCUGUGGCCCUGGUGAGGCCUCAGUUUAACAGGCGAUCACGUUCACAAAGGCUGGUGGCCUGGUGUGACCUUUCCCCAAAUACUGCUGUGGAGCUGGAAUGUGCUUGAGUGCCCCUGUGUGUACUCAUGCUCCGGACGCUUCCUUAUCUCCAUGGCCCUGUACAAUCUGCCUGUGCUGCGCUUUGCAGGGCAGGAGGCCACACGCACUGGAGUUCUUUCCUUCUGCAGCUCGGCUGGGUGACCCGCUGGCACCCAUCUGACAGUUCCCCAGAUUAUAGUUUCAGUGUGGCCAAAGGUCACCAGGAAACACGAGCUGACAUUCUGACCUGCCCUUGAAUGAGAAGGAGCUCUGGGAACCGGAACCGGAGGACGUGUUUUACUGGGAGGGGCUCCGACUACGGUGUGUUGCCCUUUGUUGACUGGCGCUGCCGCCCCCUUGCUGGCUGGUCCUCAGCGGUGCCCCAAGGCAUUCCCCAGCGGCGGGGCACAGGGAGAUUCCAGUGUGCGGAAGUCAGUAUCCUGUCAGGACGGACUCACUGCUGCGCUGAGCAGCCCCGGGAAGCUUGACACUCACUGCUGCUCGUCCCUGGAGGGGGUUGUGUGUCAUCCGGAGGACAGUGUGCGGGCUUUUUCUGGGCUGGGCCUGGAAUGUGGCACAUCCAGGGAUGGUGAGGGUCACUGAGAGCAAGAGAGGGGAGGAGAGUGUCUGGCUGAGUGCCAGGACCAAGAGGGGACGCCAGGACACUGGGAGAAAGGCAGCCUGUGCCAUGCACACAGUAUCGCUGCAAACUGAUAACCACUGGGUAAUUUCUUUGAAGGUAAAAAAUAAGUGGAAGAACCAGAACCUUCUGUAACAAUCAUCCACACUUAGUGAUGCUAGCAUGGUCCCUGGGAUCCGAGUGUCUCUCCAGUCCUUGGACAAAAUUCACUUUGAUUGCUUCCUCCAAGUUCCAAUCCAGAUGUUUUAGAAGAAAUCGGUGCGUAAGAGGAGUGCACUAAAAAAAUGAGCAGCUGUGUCUAGGUGGUGGUUCCCACAGGCGAGUGGGUGACUCAGUUUCUGGCAGUUUUCAAGACAAUGCCCACAUCCCUUCAUCAACCCUGCCCGCCCCAGGGCAGUGCAAUAGCCUUGAACUUCUGGUCUGGCUUCUUGCAAGAGGCUGUUAUAAACCCUCUUUGAGGGGCGCUGUCUGCCUGUUUCCUGGGCUGGAGGCCGGCCUGUGAGGGAGGAGUUCAGUCCUGCCCUGUUGGUUUCCAUUGGCUCUGACUCAGUUUUGUCCCCACAGGGUCUGCACACACACCAGGGGAGAAAGGCCCAGCAUGAUCCUGACUGCUGCAAAGGGGGCAAAUGGCACCUUUAGGAAGGAAAUGGUUCCCCUAAUAAAAAAGCUACCAACACCAGGAGGGCAGAUGCUUAACAGCACCUCCUAAGACAAGCCCUAUUCUAGACACUUUACACACCUUAACUCGUCCAUACCUCACAACCCCUUCUUGAGCAGACGGUACUCUUAUCAUCAUCUCCGCCGCUGUGCAGAUGGGGAAACUGACGCAAGGAGUGAUUGUCCGUGAGCAUGCAGUGGAGGAAAGGAGGGUGGAGGUGGGGUGUGAACCCACGGGUCUAGCCACUGUGCUGCCCUGCUCUGCUUUCCUUUGAGGUGCGGGGUCUGCACCUGCUAGAACUCUCCAUCUCUGGGACGGGCACAGGCCCUGUCCUGAGACGUGUCUAUGGGACACUUCCUGGUCCUAAGGGAGCCCAGGGCCCCUGUGAGGGGUCAGGGACUGGGUUCUGCCAUGACAGCCCAGCUGUGCUGCCAGGCCCUUUCUUUCCAGCUGGUGGGAGUGUGGGCACAGGCUGUCCACCAGCCAGCAGAGCCCCCUCCUCAUGUGCACCCGUGAGUGGGGGAGGGAGGAGCCCAGGGGCACUCAUGGGCUCCAGGCCUCUUAUUCAUAUACAGUGACUCUGUCCUUGCAUCCAUUGGGGGACUCAGUGACCAGGCCAGUUCUGCCCAUUUCUCCCUAAUGGCCUCCCAGAGUAUGCUUGGGGAAACUGGAGCUGGUGAGGGCCCAGGACUCACCAUCACCUACGGCAAGGGCCAGAGCGGGCAGUGCCUUGAGGACAGUCCAUGCCCUUCGGGGCUCUUGGCCCCAACCUGUGGCCACAGAGACAGAGACCCUGGACAGACACACAUCCUCUCCGUGCUUCCACUCGGCAGACAUUCACGAAGUUCUGCUCCUGCCGAGAGGGCCCCUCCUGCUGGCAGGGGAUGGGGUGGGGUCCUGGCCAUGGCCAGCAGCCUACCCAGCAAUACCUGGGGCUUGCUCUGGGCCAGGAAAUCAUGGUUCAAGUCUUGUCCUGCCUCAGUUUCUUCUAAGGAAUUCUGCCCUCUAUGGAGCACAUGUGUAGCAGUGCUUCUGGGCUUUUGGAGCCGGUCUUAAUUGGCAUCUUGAGAAGAGCACUGGUCUAGAGUUGGGGAAUCCUGGUCUCUGGCCUGGCUGUGCCCCAGCUCCAUGUGUGACAACCAUUGCGACUCUGUGCCUCAGUUUCUCCUCUUUAAACAGAACCUGAGACUGGAUUGGACUCUCAAGUUGGCGCCACACGGACUGGACCCAGCAGGAAGCUGCCUUUUUGAAGGGAGUCAGGGGAAGGCGCUUCCCCAGGGCGCCCAGCCCCACCACUUCCAGUGGUUUGCUGCCAAAUGGGGCUGACCCAAGGACAACCACCAGGAAGCAGACUUAAAAAUAAAGGCAAGAAUAACAACAAUAAUUUAAAAAACCCAGCAGAGACAUCAGUGGCUGCACAGUGUAGUUGAGGCAAAUUCUAUAGGAUUUGUUCAGUGAAGUCACUAAAAAAACCCAACAGCAACAAGCCCUUGGGGGUAAGGAGAUGGAUGAGAAUACAGAGUUGCUACAAUAUUACCUAAAGUGUCCAGUUUGACAUGCAAAGAAACAGGAAAGUUUGACUCAUAUCCAGGGGACGAAAAAGAGUCAACAGACACUGUUUGAGGGGGUCCAGAUGCUGGAUUUAGCAGACUUCAAAGCAGCUAUUAUAAAUAUGUUCAAAGACCUAAAGGAAGCUGUGGUCAGGGAAUUAAAGGAGAGUAUGACACAAUGACUCAUCAAAUACGGACUAUCUCAAUAAAGAGAGAAAAAUUAUAUUAAAAAAAGGAACCAAAUGAAAAUUCUGGAGUGGAAAAGUAUAAUAACUGAAAUGAAAAUUUACUAAAGUGGCUCAACAGCAGAUUUAAACUGACAAGAAAAAGCUAGUGAACUUGAAAGUAGAUUAAUAAAAAAUUGUCCAAUCUGAAGAACAGAAAGAAAAGAAGAUGGAAAAUAAACUCUGAGAUGUGUCUGGGGCUCAACAAGAAUACCAACAUGUGUUUUGGGAGUCCCAGAUGGAGAGGAGAGAGAGAAAGGGGAAGACGAAAUGGCCAAAAACUUUCCAAAUUUGAUGAAAACACAUCAAAGCAGCACAACACAUUCCAAGUUGGAAAAAUACAAAGAGAUGCAUACCUAGAGACAUUACAGUCGAACAGCUGAAAGACAAAAGGAAAUUCUGAAUGCAGCAGGAAGAAAAAACGAAACACUGUAUUACUUACAAGGGAGGAAUUCUGUUUAACAGCUGACUUGUCAUCAGCAGCAAUGGAGCCAAAGAGGCAGCAGAAUGACAUAUUCAAAAUGCUGAAAAAAAAAUCUGUCAACCAAGAAUUCUAUAGGUAGAAACACUGUCCUUCAAAAAUGAAGACAAAAAUAAAGGCAUUUUGAGAUAAAGAUUGAGGAAAUUCACUGCAAGCAAACCUGCCUUAUGAAAUACAUUAAAGGAAGUCUUUGGGGCUGAACAUAAGUGACAUGAGAAGAUGACUUAAAUCCACAUCGAGAAAUAAAGAGCAUUGAAAGAAGUAAUUACAUGGGUAAACAUGAAAGACUGGCAACAUUUUUCUCUUACCUAACUUAAAAGACAGUUGUGGGUCUGGCCCCAUGGCUGAGUGGUUAAGUUUGCCUGCUCCACUUCGGCAGCCCGGGGUUUUGCCGGUUUAGAUCCUGGGCGUGGACCUAGCAUCACU